CUGCAGAAUCCUCACAGCUCCCAUAUUUCCUCGUGAAAGGUUGUCCACUAUCGUCACCCGGUAAUUUUCUUUUAAAAGUCGUAAUGCUGCAUGGGAACCAAUGUAGCCAGCACCUCCGGUGACUAAGACAUGAACAACACCUGGUUGAUGGCGAGAGAAUGCACUUGGGGUAUUAAAAGUUGGAGACUGCUUGAGCAUAAGAAUGCAUAGCGCUGUUAGCACAGCAGCCAUAAGAAUUUUACCCACAAAAUUGCUCUUCUUCUUUGGGUCUGCAUAAUCCAUGCCUCCUAGAGACAUAGAUCUGCUAGACCUUGUUUGAGCUCUUCCCCUGCCCAAGCCUAGCAUAAUCUCUCCAAUGCCAAAUAGGCAAACAAUCAAAUUAGAUUAUCUUAUUACUUGAAACUACUGAUCAAGUAAGCCCCUUCUUUGUAUGUGGAACUGUUAUCAGUCUGCAGCUUCAAUUUCCAAAACUGUACAGUAAAACUCCUUAUGAUCAAGAGAUCUAUGAACUAACAUAUAAAAAAUAUCUUCUAAAGAAAUUUAUAGUAGAAGAAAGAGAAUUGAGUAGAGUCCACGAUCAUGUUUAUUUUGGAAAACAAAAAAAAAAAGAAAACGUACAAAGAGGGAGAAGGUUCAG
rnacentral:misc_RNA from 1 species